rnacentral:lncRNA from 1 species
GCCCGUUUGGUUUGGUUAUUUUGGUGCACAUAUUCACAGAUCUUUUAUUUAUUUACAUACCUUUUGUUUUUUCUUGAAUUUUUUAAUUGUUCAAACAUACGUUCUGUCAUAAAAAAAAAGUUCAAACAUACAUAUAUAUUGUUCAUGAAAAAAAAAACUUUGAAGAUAUUAUUUUAAAGAGGACAAUAUGAAUUGAAUGCUAUCAACCAACAUGUUGAUGCCAGAGUGCACC